GGGGCGGUGGCGCAGUUGGCUAGCGCGUAGGUCUCAAAAUCCUGAGGUCGAGGGUUCGAGCCUCUCUCGCCCCA
rnacentral:tRNA from 1 species